ACUCCUACGGGAGGCAGCAGUGAGGAAUAUUCGGCAAUGGGGGCAACCCUGACCGAGCAACGCCGCGUGGAGGAUGACGGUUUUCGGAUUGUAAACUCCUUUUCUCAGGGAAGAGCGAGGACGGUACCUGAGGAAUAAGUCACGGCUAACUACGUGCCAGCAGCCGCGGUAAU
rnacentral:rRNA from 1 species